rnacentral:lncRNA from 1 species
GUGAGGUGGUAUGAUCACUGCACCAGCAGAAGUUGGUCACACACAUGACUCCCACAAGGGGUGACAAGUCCUGGGGUGGGAGGGGCAGCUUGCUGGAGGAAUUCAAAUUGAAACCGAAUCUGAAGCCACCUGCGCCACGCAGCACCACACCCAGCCCAGACCUCGAGAGGCCUUGGUCCCGUGGGGGCCUCGGAGUGGAGAAGGACAAAGGACUCGGAGGCCAGCAGGGGUGCACCUCUGCCAACCAGCACUCAGGAGGCUGAGGCGGGAAGAUCACCCUGAGCCCAAAGACAGUCUGGGUUACAUAGUGAGUUCAAGACUAAGCGAUAUGAAAUAAAAUGAACACUUGCAGGAGCAAGAAGCAGACAGAUGGGGUGGAGAGUCACACGGGGAAGGCCUGGCUCACACCCAUGGCCCACGCGCCCUGGGACGUCGCACGCGGGCAGCAGGGUUCUGGGCGAGCUCUCCCCAGCGCAGACGGAUCAGCUUCUCCUGUGACCCUCCUCUGUGCAGCAGCUUGGCGCCUCUGAGUUCGAUCCCCGGUUCCAAAAAAAAGAAAAAAAAAGGGAGCAAUGUUGAUGCGAAGCUGAUUCUUUUGGCCUCCACAAAAGAGCCUCGACAUCCGAGACUAACACAUCAGCCCCUUCGCAGCUGAGGACCUGAGGCCCCAGACCCUGACGGGGGGGCCCGUCCCCCACCGGGCUGUCGGGACAGAAGAGGCCGGGGACCAAGGCACCAGGAGGCCUGGGGGGCCCAGCAGACCUUCCCCUUCCGCCCGCCCACCAGGCUCCCGUGCUGGUCUCCCAACACACAGGAAGUGGGGCUGCUGGGCUUGGGACAGGGACUCGGGGCGGCCUGACUUGUGGCCAGGCGAGGUUGAGGGCCCCGAGGCCUCGCGCUCUGGGCAGGCAGAGCCAGGCGUUACUGGGGUGCAGGUGGGUGGGGCCCAGCGGAAGUGAUCUAAGCACCCAGACCCCACCCCAGAAGAAGCCAGAGUGUCUGCUGCCUGGUUCUCACCGAGGGGCAAGCAGAGCUGUCAGAGGUACAAUCUGGUACCCGGUACCACCGGGUCUUAGAGUUCGUCCUGCAGAGCCCAGUGCUACAGCCUGGCCCAGCAUGAGGGAGACCCUGGGCUCCUUCUCCAACACCAGACACAGGGGAGAGGAGGAGAGGGCAGCUGGGCAUGAGGGCAGGCACUUUAACCCCAGCACUAGGGAG